UCCGUACCAUGCUGAAUAUACCGGUUCUCGUUAGAUCACCGAAGUCGAGCAUCAUCGGUCACGAUCAGUACUUGGGUGGGUGACCACCUGGGAACAUUGCGUGCUGUU
rnacentral:rRNA from 1 species